ensembl:snRNA U6 U6 spliceosomal RNA
GUGCUUACGUGGCAGCACAUACACUAACAUUGGAAUGAUUCAGAGAUUAGCAUGGCCUCUGAACAAGGAUCGCACUCACGUUUGUGAAGCGCCCCACUGGUUG